rnacentral:misc_RNA from 1 species
UAUAUUUUGACUAAUGUAAUAGACGCACUUACAAAAAUAUAUAUAAUCAUAUUUGCUUGUUUGGUUAUCACAAUUUUUUUGUCACAAUCACUACCCGCAAGUGUUAAUUGUCAUCAUCCCUCCUACCACUACCACCAUUCACAAUCAUCUCACUGCCACUACCACCACUAAUCGGUCAUCACUACCACCACCUCGUCAUCGCCACCAACACCACCACCAUCACCACCACGUCCUCCUGGGCACCAUCACAAUUACCACCAUUUAGUUACUACCACCGUGUAGCCACCAUCACAAUUGAUGCUAUUCAGCCAUCACUAGCACUCGAACAUUGCCACUGUUGUCACCACCAAUACCACCAUUUGGUCACCUCCAUAGCUACUGCUGCCGCUGCCACUGUCAGUCACAACCAUUGCUACCACUCAAUUGUUAUUACCAUUUACCACCAUAAAUAAAUUAAAUAUUAAAAUA